rnacentral:rRNA from 1 species
UCGAACGAGGCAGGGUUCUUCGGGACUCUAGUCGAGUGGCGGACGGGUGAGUAACACGUGAGCAAUCUACCCUUGUGCGGGGGAUAACCCGGGGAAACCCGGGCUAAUACCGCAUGGCGCAGGAGGAUCGCUGAUCUUCCUGGGAAACGUGGCCUCUUAACAAUGCUACGGCGCAGGGAGGAGCUCGCGGGCUAUCAGCUAGUUGGUGAGGUAACGGCUCACCAAGGCAGCGACGGCUACGGGGUCUGAGAGGACGACCCCGCACAUUGGAACUGAGACACGGUCCAGACUCCUACGGGAGGCAGCAGUGGGGAAUUUUGGGCAAUGGCCGAAAGGCUGACCCAGCGACGCCGCGUGCGGGAGGAAGCCCUUCGGGGUGUAAACCGCUGUCGGGGGGGACGAAAGAGCUCGGGAUUAACAGUCUCGGGCAGUGACGGUACCCUCAAAGGAAGCACCGGCUAACUCUGUGCCAGCAGCCGCGGUAAUACAGAGGGUGCAAGCGUUGUUCGGAAUUACUGGGCGUAAAGCGCGCGCAGGCGGAUCUGGUAAGUCUGGAGUGAAAUCUCACUGCUCAACGGUGAGACGGCUUCUGAUACUGCGGAUCUGGAGACCGGUAGAGGCUGGUGGAAUUGCAGGUGUAGCGGUGGAAUGCGUAGAGAUCUGCAAGAACACCCGUGGCGAAGGCGGCCAGCUGGGCCGGUUCUGACGCUGAGGCGCGAAAGCGUGGGGAGCAAACAAGGAUUUAGAUACCCUGGUAGUC